rnacentral:snRNA from 1 species
AUUCUUACCUGGCAGGGGAGAUGCAUGAUCAGGAAUGGGUUUUCCCAGGGCGAGGCUCAUCCCUUGCACUCCAUAGGUGGCUUACCCUGUGAUUUCCCCAAAUGCGGAAACUCGACUGCAUAAUUUGUGAUAGUGAGGAAGUGCAUUCCUGCUUUCCCCU